CGGUGCCGUUGCCGAAGGGCGCGGUGCCGCCGUUGGGGUUGGUGGUGGUGCCGCCGGGUGCCUGACCGGGCGUCCCGCCCUGCCCGCCACCGG
rnacentral:tRNA from 1 species